GACGAACCGAGCGAACGUUAUUCGGAAUCACUGGGCUUAAAGGGCGCGUAGGCGGGCGGCCAAGUCAGGGGUGAAAGCCCCCAGCUCAACUGGGGAAGUGCCUCUGAUACUGGUCAUCUCGAGGGAGAUAGGGGCGUGCGGAACUUCCGGUGGAGCGGUGAAAUGCGUAGAUAUCGGAAGGAACACCGGUGGCGAAAGCGGCGCGCUGGAUCUCUUCUGACGCUGAGGCGCGAAAGCCAGGGGAGCGGAACGGGAUUAGAAACCCGGAG
rnacentral:rRNA from 1 species